rnacentral:rRNA from 1 species
GAUGAACGCUGGCGGCGUGCCUAAUACAUGCAAGUCGAGCGAACGGACGAGAGGCUUGCUUCUCUGAUGUUAGCGGCGGACGGGUGAGUAACACGUGGAUAACCUACCUAUAAGACUGGGAUAACUUCGGGAAACCGGAGCUAAUACCGGAUGAUAUUUUGAACCGCAUGGUUCAAAAGUGAAAGACGGUCUUGCUGUCACUUAUGGAUGGAUCCGCGCUGCAUUAGCUAGUUGGUAAGGUAACGGCUUACCAAGGCAACGAUGCAUAGCCGACCUGAGAGGGUGAUCGGCCACACUGGAACUGAGACGCGGUCCAGACUCCUACGGGAGGCAGCAGUAGGGAAUCUUCCGCAAUGGGCGAAAGCCUGACGGAGCAACGCCGCGUGAGUGAUGAAGGUCUUCGGAUCGUAAAACUCUGUUAUUAGGGAAGAACAUAUGUGUAAGUAACUGUGCACAUCUUGACGGUACCUAAUCAGAAAGCCACGGCUAACUACGUG